CCACACACACACACACACACACAGUACACACCGUUUUCCAAACCGCUCCAUUAUACUUGUGUCUCUAUAUGUGUGAGUGUGUGUGUGUGUGUGG